rnacentral:rRNA from 1 species
GAUGAAUGCUGGCGGCGUGCCUAAUACAUGCAAGUCGAGCGGUAAGGCCCUUCGGGGUACACGAGCGGCGGACGGCUGAGUAACGCGUGGGAACAUGCCCCAAAGUGAGGGAUAACGCACCGAAAGGUGUGCUAAUACCGCAUAUGGUCUUCGGAUUAAAGGAUUUAUCCGGCUUUGGGAGUGGCCCGCGUACGAUUAGAUUGUUGGUGAGGUAACGGCUCACCAAGUCGACGAUCGUUAAACUGGUCUGAGAGGAUGAUCAGUCAGACUGGAACUGAGACACGGUCCAGACUCCUACGGGAGGCAGCAGUAAGGAAUCUUCCACAAUGGGCGAAAGCCUGAUGGAGCAACGCCGCGUGCAGGAUGAAGGCCCUCGGGUCGUAAACUGCUUUUAUGAGUGAAGAAUAUGACGGUAACUCAUGAAUAAGCACCGGCUAACUACGUGCCAGCAGCCGCGGUAAGCUCGUCUCUA